UUAGGUCCAGUCGUGACCGACUCUGGGGUUGCGACGCUCAUCUCGCUUUAUUGGCCAAGGGAGCCGGCGUACAGCUUCCGGGUCAUGUGGCCAGCAUGACUAAGCUGCUUCUGGCGAACCAGAGCAGCGCACGGAAACGCCCUUUACCUUCCCGCCGGAGUGGUACCUAUUUAUCUACUUGCACUUUGACGUGCUUUUGAACUGUUAGUUCAAUGCACUCAGCUUCAGUGAUAAAAGCAUCAAUGCCUAGGGAGGCACCUGGAGCCAGAAAGCAUCCCCAAAGCUCAGCAUGUCCUGAACUACAUCCCAACACUGAGUUGCCUUGGUUCAGAACCAAGGCUACAUGGAAGACUUCCCCAAGCCAUGACCUUCAAAGUCAUCGCCAAAAUCUAUGGAACAUCUUGUCAUUUAAGCACUGGGACGCUACAAAGGAUU